GAUGAACGCUGGCGGCGUGCCUAAUACAUGCAAGUCGAGCGAACGGACGAGAAGCUUGCUUUUCUGAUGUUAGCGGCGGACGGGUGAGUAACACGUGGAUAACCUACCUAUAAGACUGGGAUAACUUCGGGAAACCGGAGCUAAUACCGGAUAAUAUUUUGAACCGCAUGGUUCAAAAGUGAAAGACGGUCUUGCUGUCACUUAUAGAUGGAUCCGCGCUGCAUUAGCUAGUUGGUAAGGUAACGGCUUACCAAGGCAACGAUGCAUAGCCGACCUGAGAGGGUGAUCGGCCACACGGGAACUGAGACACGGUCCCGACUCCGACGGGAGGCAGCAGUAGGGAAUCUUCGGCAAUGGGCGAAAGCCUGACGGAGCAACGCCGCGUGAGUGAUGAAGGUCUUCGGAUCGUAAAACUCUGUUAUUAGGGAAGAACAUAUGUGUAAGUAACUGUGCACAUCUUGACGGUACCUAAUCAGAAAGCCACGGCUAACUACGUG
rnacentral:rRNA from 1 species